UACGGGGGGGGGGCAAGCGUUUGUUCGGAAUUACUGGGCGUAAAGGGCGCGCAGGCGGCUGCUCAAGUCAGGCGUGAAAAGGCCUGGGCUCAACCCGGGGAAUUGCGCUUGAGACUGGGCUGGCUUGAGUGCGGGAGAGGAUGGUGGAAUUCCCAGUGUAGAGGUGAAAUUCGUAGAUAUUGGGGAAGAACACCGGUGGCGAAGGCGGCCAUCUGGACCGCAACUGACGCUGAGGCGCGAAAAGCGUGGGGGAGCAAACAGGAUUAGAAAACCC
rnacentral:rRNA from 1 species